AGUGAACGCUGGCGGCAGGCCUAACACAUGCAAGUCGAGCGGCAGCGCGGGGGCAACCCUGGCGGCGAGCGGCGGACGGGUGAGGAAUGCAUCGGAAUCUACCUCGUUGUGGGGGAUAACCUCGGGAAACCGGGACUAAUACCGCAUACGACCUACGGGUGAAAGUGGGGGACCUUCGGGCCUCACGCGAUGAGAUGAGCCGAUGCCGGAUUAGCUAGUUGGCGGGGUAAAGGCCCACCAAGGCGACGAUCCGUAGCUGGUCUGAGAGGAUGAUCAGCCACACUGGAACUGAGACACGGUCCAGACUCCUACGGGAGGCAGCAGUGGGGAAUAUUGGACAAUGGGCGCAAGCCUGAUCCAGCCAUGCCGCGUGUGUGAAGAAGGCCUUCGGGUUGUAAAGCACUUUGUUGGGAAGAAACGGUCGGAUUAAUACUUCGGCUGAAUGACGGUACCAAAGAAUAAGCACCGGCUAACUUCGUGCCAGCAGCCGCGGUAAAACGU
rnacentral:rRNA from 1 species